AUCCUGGCUCAGGAUGAACGCUAGCGGCAGGCUUAACACAUGCAAGUCGAGGGGCAGCGAGUAAAUUGCUUGCAAUUUACGUCGGCGACCGGCGGACGGGUGCGUAACGCGUAUGCAACCUACCCAUUACAGGGGGAUAACAUUGAGAAAUCGGUACUAAUACCCCAUAACAUCCAGGGAGGCAUCUUCUUGGGUUGAAAACUACGGUGGUAAUGGAUGGGCAUGCGUUGUAUUAGUUAGUUGGUGGGGUAACGGCUCACCAAGACAACGAUACAUAGGGGGACUGAGAGGUUAACCCCCCACAUUGGUACUGAGCCAGGAUCAAACUCU
rnacentral:rRNA from 1 species